UGCAGCUCAUAAUAUAAAGAGGUAGAGGCCUACAUUCGCGCGAAAACCCUGGGUAACAAGGACGGAUUAGUGGGAAAGGCAGCCAAUUAUACGUGUAGAACCAUCAUCAACCUGUCCGAAGCUGUAGUGUAUCCAGCCUCGUUAAUUAGAAUACGUCUUGCAGCAUUCCCAUAUUUCCACUAGAAAAAUUUCGGUGGAAUGGAAAUCUAUGGAGAUACAUGUCGAAUCAUCUUCGAACAGUCCGAUAGUGUAGUGAAACGCAGACGUUCGAUAUCUUCGCAUCAAGCCUUAUUCGCUAGAACACUCAAAAAUUGUCGGCGAACGGAAAUCUAUAGAUUUCCAUUCGCCAUUGCAUGUUUUCUGAAAAGCUUCAUUUAACAAUGCAAAAGCAUCCUUUGUCCAAAUUAUCUCCUUUUUUUGUGCUUCUAUUUCGUUUCUCAUAGGCAGCUGGACAAAAUAACUGGUCUUCAGGGUCGCGGUGAACGACGCACCUGACGUCGCCGCACUUACCUGGGAUAGCCGAUCUCGAUCUACUGUACAAGCAUCCUGAUCUUAGAUAUCCUUUCGUCUUCGACCGCCGGAAAGUGAUCUCUUUCACAGGUCUGCCCUCUCUUCCCCACGUUCGUACGUGUUGCCUCCUUUGCCUCAUCAGCACUCUCUAUAUUUACCGCUUUGCCAUUUCGUCUCAAAAUAAAGAGACUAUCGAAAACAAAAUAUUUCUUUGUAAUUUAUUUUUUUUAUUGGUAUAUCAUAUGCAAUCGUAAUUCAACAACCGUUCGUUCCACUGCACUGCCCUUUUGCACUACACUGCACUGCACUUUGCUGUUUGCAGCAAAUCUCUUUUUGCUUUACAUUCUGUGAAGACUGUCGUUUUUUAACCUGUCACAAUCCACUGUUUUUUUUUAUACAGCGGUAUAAUACUCUUGGACUUUAUCUUCUGUAGAGUUUCCAUUUGUCGUCGAGCGUCGGUCUUUCCCAGUCUGUAUUCUUUUCUCCACGUUGGAAACCAAAGUCGGAAUUCGAACGAGUUGCCUCCCUUUGAAAAAAAAAAGCUCUCUUCUGUUGGACGAUUGCUGUCGUCUUUUGUUUUCCCCUCCCCCCGAACGUCAAGUCCAUCGUCUUUAAGAUAACGGUAUAUACUGUUGUUCUUUUUCGCGCGCAGCAAGUCGAUCGUUGUUUUUGUGCUUUCUUCCAUAACUUUCUUGUCCUAAUCUUUUUUCUCUUUGCCUUUUUUUGUCGAUAAAUUUUCGACUCCUCUGUUCAGUUUAUUCACAUAAAGUUGUGCUUUCGUUCUCUCCGCAAUCUCAGGCAAGAGUCGGAAUUUGAAUCGGAACACGUGCAGAUCGCACCCUGCGUUGGUCAUGUGUAUCGAACGAGCCACUCCGUCCGCCUUCCUGGGUAAGUGGUCGCGACGUCAGGUUCCACGCGAACAUGACUGUUUCCUUCCACGAUGUUCGUUGUGGCAUUUCCUGGUAAGUUCUCUUUCUAUUCUCCAUUGAAAUCAAGGAGAAUUCCCAACCUCAACAGCAGUCGCAACCUCGAUCGGUCGCAAGCACCAUGGAUGGAACAGCGUCGGAGUACAACAGCGGAUCGUGCAGCAAGUUGUUGUUGUGCCUUCUUCCAUAACUUUCUUAUCCAGAUCUUUUUAUUUGGUAUGGUCCUCUUUCCCUUUUUGCGACUCCCCUGUCAGUUUAUUUACAUAAAGUUGCGCCUUAUUUCUUCCGCAAUCUCUGUUGUCGAGUUCCUUGGAAAGUGUGGCGACGUUAGUUUCCGUGCGAACAUAAUACCGGUUUUUUCCACGAUAUUCGUUAUAGCCUUCCCUGGUAAGUGUGGCGACGUCAGGUUCAAUGUCAGGUUUCCCCCCGAACUUCGAAAUUCCACGAACGGCAGUAUGUUGCCUCUUUGUCAGCAAUCGGUACCUCGACUAAUUUGUCUCUUUCCAAUCAAAGUGUUUGCACAGUAGGUCUAAGUUUGGAACUGUCAAAACAGGAACGUUACUUCUUCCAUUUCCUCGUCAAUCAAUCAUCGCCGGUGUUCAUCCACGAACGGCGGUAUCUCGAACCUUACAGGUUCUUCUUUUAUCUUGGCAACCUUUUCCUGCCAAGGUUCUCGUCGGUCGUUGUUUCCAGCAUGUCUUCUUAUCGGAUUCUUUACUUUAAUAAUCUCUUUGUUAGAGCGCUUCUUCCGAUUUCCCGAAUUGUUUCGUUGCUUUAUUUUUUGGUCUCUUCUCAGAAGUGUUUCUUCGAAGAGUCCGUAGGUCUCUCCAUCCUGUACAGUCUCGUUGUACUCCAUCGUUCUAAGACGGUUUGCGAAACUCGGGACGCCUAUUAUUAAAAAAAAUAUAUGGUAUGUUGCAUUCCUUUGUAUCUUGGUACAUUUCUUUUUAUCUCGAGUUGGUACCGAGAACUUCGGGAUUAUCAUUACACGGACCGUUUCUUUUUUGGCACUUUCUUUUUAUGUUAAUCUUGUGCCGGUACACUUCUUCCUCCUGUGGGGGAUCUAGCUUGCUUGCAGUUUCAAUUUCCAUCUUCGGCACAGUUUGCCCCACUUUGCCUCUUUUGCUUUACGAGUGUUGAACUGUGUUCAAGAGAAGAACUAAACUAGAUUAUUUUUCCCCUUUCGUCGUCACGGCCAUCGUAAGUUGGCUCGUUUGCAGCAUUCUUUUCUUUUUCUUAACAUUUAGGAAAUCCUCAUUGCCCCACUUUAGUUUGUCGGCAUUGUCCCGAAUGAAAGAAAAUCAUCCCCUCGCUGCCACGACUUUUCGAAUUCUGCUUAUAGCAUCUUCAUAAUCGAAAGUUUCUCUUCUUUAUCUUGCAUUUAAAAAAAAUGCUGUCUUGAUGAAUUCUUAUUCUUGCUUGUUAUCAUUGCCGAACAUUCGGCGAUUUUGCAUAGACUAACGAGAGAACGUUAGUUUCAUUUCUUCAUCCUGCAUUCUUUCUAGCACACGCACUCGUUCCUUUAAACGAUUACGUGAAAC